GAUGAACGCUAGCUACAGGCUUAACACAUGCAAGUCGAGGGGCAGCAUGGUCUUAGCUUGCUAAGGCCGAUGGCGACCGGCGCACGGGUGAGUAACACGUAUCCAACCUGCCGUCUACUCUUGGACAGCCUUCUGAAAGGAAGAUUAGUACAAGAUGGCAUCAUGAGUCCGCAUGUUCACAUGAUUAAAGGUAUUCCGGUAGACGAUGGGGAUGCGUUCCAUUAGAUAGUAGGCGGGGUAACGGCCCACCUAGUCUUCGAUGGAUAGGGGUUCUGAGAGGAAGGUCCCCCACAUUGGAACUGAGACACGGUCCAAACUCCUACGGGAGGCAGCAGUGAGGAAUAUUGGUCAAUGGGCGCAGGCCUGAACCAGCCAAGUAGCGUGAAGGAUGACUGCCCUAUGGGUUGUAAACUUCUUUUAUAAAGGAAUAAAGUCGGGUAUGUAUACCCGUUUGCAUGUACUUUAUGAAUAAGGAUCGGCUAACUCCGUG
rnacentral:rRNA from 1 species